GAUGAACGCUAGCGGCAGGCUUAAUACAUGCAAGUCGAGGGGCAGCAUGAUUGUAGCAAUACAAUUGAUGGCGACCGGCAAACGGGUGCGGAACACGUACACAACCUUCCAACAAGUGGGGGAUAGCCCAGAGAAAUUUGGAUUAAUACCCCGUAACAUAGCGAUGUGGCAUCACAUUGCUAUUAUAGAUUGUUCGCUUGUUGAUGGGUGUGCGGCUGAUUAGAUAGUCGGCGGGGUAACGGCCCACCAAGUCUACGAUCAGUAGCUGAUGUGGGAGCAUGAUCAGCCACACGGGCACUGAGACACGGGCCCGACUCCUACGGGAGGCAGCAGUAAGGAAUAUUGGACAAUGGACGCAAGUCUGAUCCAGCCAUGCCGCGUGAAGGAUUAAGGUCCUCUGGAUUGUAAACUUCUUUUAUAAGGGACGAAAAAAGGCUUUUCUAAGUCGUCUGACGGUACCUUAUGAAUAAGCACCGGCUAACUCCGUGCCAGCCGCCGCCGUAAAAC
rnacentral:rRNA from 1 species